GUGUAUUCUUUUUUGGAUGUCACAUAUACUAAAAUUGGAAUGAUACAGAGAAGAAUAGCUAUGUCCCUGUACAAGCAUGACAAAAAUUCAUGAAGUGUUCCAUGUUUUU
ensembl:snRNA U6 U6 spliceosomal RNA